CCGAGGUUCAAUAUACGGCUAAGUGGUCACAACACAUUUAGACAGUUGACGGUUUGGUAGCUUUGUUUACGUGGCGGCCUUAAAAUGAAGAUUUCUGUAGUUCUUUGUAUAAUUGCAUUUGCAGUGAGUGUUUACAGCGAGAAUUGUAAGCAGGUUUCUGACUGCCGCGAGACCAAGUGUGGCACGGACCACGGAUGGUGGCUUCACUGUACAAAGGGCUUUUGCCUUUGCAGUCAUGACACAUACACAGGAAAACCUUGCACUGACGGCGGCGCCGUUACAUGCGGGACUGUACAUGGACCCCGAUGCCAGAACCUUGGACUAUUUUGGCAUUGCGUAGACAAUGUUUGCCACUGCUCAAAACACCAAUAAAAUAAAAUAGUAAAAUUAUC